CUAUAACCAAGAGCGACGGGCGAUAUGUACUUUUACCAGAACUUUUUCAAUAAAUAAUUUUAUUUUUAAUUUACUUUCACAUCCAAAUUCCAAAUUAAUUAAAAUAAGUAUCCUAUAAAAGUAAAUCAUACCCCUCCAUUUUAUAAUCUACACAUUGACCUGAAUUCACAUAUUAAAAAUAUUACAAAAGGAUUUAAACCAAAAUAAAAACAGCCGUACAUAAAAUUAAAAAUGGAAAACAUAAAAGCGGGUUAUCUAUUAUAGUGUACAAUUUCCUGUGAAAAGAUGAUAAACCGCCAAAAAGAUUAAG
rnacentral:rRNA from 1 species